rnacentral:sRNA from 1 species
AAAAAACUCUUUGCAAUUCUUGUGGUGGGACAGCGCAUGGGCAGGACGGUAUAACCGUCCGGCGAUAGCCACCCAUGCGCGAUACGAGGCUCCUGACGGGGCCUUUUUUUAUGCCCUGAA